rnacentral:rRNA from 1 species
UACGGAGGAUCCGAGCGUUAUCCGGAUUUAUUGGGUUUAAAGGGUGCGUAGGCGGCCGAGUAAGUCAGCGGUGAAAUUUUGCAGCUUAACUGUAACAGUGCCGUUGAUACUGCAUGGCUAGGAUUUGGUUGCUGUGGGUGGAAUGUGUGGUGUAGCGGUGAAAUGCUUAGAUAUCACACAGAAUAUCAAUUGCGAAGGCAGCUCACAAAGCCAAGAUUGACGCUGAGGCACGAAAGCGUGGGGAGCAAACAGGA